rnacentral:tRNA from 1 species
UCACAAGUAGCUCAGUGGUAAAGAAUCUGCCUGCCAAGCAGGAGAUGCAGGUUCGAUCCCUGGGUUGGGAA